AGUCGUGUAAUGGCUACAAAGCGAACUAUUCUUUCGCCUUUUACUAAAGAAUACCGUGUAGCCGUUACAUAAAGCGACAUACGCCUAUUUUUGGAAGAGUUUCUCUGUAUAGAGAAAC
rfam:Glycine max cultivar Williams 82 chromosome 19, whole genome shotgun sequence.